rnacentral:lncRNA from 1 species
AACGAACUCUCCAAUUUAUUGUGACUGGACAUAUAAGUUAUCAAAUUACCAUAUAGUAAAACAAUGCGAGGCCUCACUAGUGGAUUUGUUCUUAAAUUGGUUUGAGUGGUCUUCUCUGUUUGUUGUUAAUCCGACUCUUACUAGUUUGUUGUGUAGUCUUGAUUUCGAAAAAGAAAAGAAAAAGAAAAAAAUUUAAAAAUCUCAAAAAAGGAAGAGACAAGCGAAAAAACCCCAAUCUCGGUGAUAAAAGAAAGAGAAAAUUGAAAAAAAGUUGUAGUCGAUUAUG